AAGACUAUACUUUCAGGGAUCAUUUCUAUAGUUUGUUACUAUUUAUUUGCUUCUAGACAGAGGCGGAGCAAGACAG
rnacentral:snoRNA from 1 species